rnacentral:rRNA from 1 species
CGUAGAGUUUCGUAGUCCUCGGCGUCAGGAGUGAACGCGUGGCGGCGUGCCUAACACAUGCAAGUCGAACGAAGCAUGACCCAUGAGGGCCUUCGGGCGGAAUGGGUCAUGACUUAGUGGCGGACGGGUGAGUAACGCGUGGGUAACCUGCCCUAUACUGGGGGAUAACAGCUAGAAAUGGCUGCUAAUACCGCAUGAGCGCACAGUCCCGCAUGGGACAGUGCGGAAAACUCCGGUGGUAUAGGAUGGACCCGCGUCCGAUCAGCUGGUUGGUGGGGUAACGGGCCCACCAAGGCGACGAUCGGUAGCCGACCUGAGAGGGUGACCGGCCACAUUGGGGACUGAGACACGGCCCAAACUCCUACGGGAGGCAGCAGUGGGGGAUAUUGCACAAUGGGGGGAACCCUGAUGCAGCGACGCCGCGUGAGUGAAGGAGUACUCCGGUAUGUAAAGCUCUAUCAGCAGGGAAGAAGCAAGACGGUACCUGACCAAGAAGCCCCGGCUAACUACGUG